GUGGGAGGGCCCUGGGAUGCAUCUCCCCGGGGUGCCCCAGCUUUCUCCCCACCCCCACCCCUGCCCCGUGAGCGUGGAGAUGCACGGACACUGGACACCAGACACCGUGCGAGCUGUUUACUGGUAGCGCUUUGCACCACCUCCUGGGCCUGAUGAGUCACUGGCCAUGCCAGGGAUGCAGGAAUGCUCAGGCCCCUCCCUAACCUGGUUGGCCAGCCGGGCCCUGGGCCUGGCUGGGCAGGUCCCCCAGCAGGCAAGCCCGAACAGCGCUUCCUGUUCCUGGCAGGAGACCACGGUCAGGUCCAAGGCAUCAGAAGCAGACGUGGCCCGGGGGGUGGUGCUGGGUGAGCCCCAGCGCCUGGUGAGACGCAGCUGCUGCCUGCGAGUGGGUUUGUGGGUUUGCCCCUUCCCGUGACCCGCUGAGCGUCGGAGGCCAGUGUUGUGAUGAGUUGUCAUAUUUUGAUGGGGCUUUAAACGACAGCUGCUUAUUUAGAAGGUGUUGCUUUGGAAUAUUUUUAAAGUUUAAACCUGAUUUAUAUAAGCAUGUAUUUCUUAAUGAUAUUUGAAUUAUAACCUAAUCGAUAGAACGAAUAUUCUUCAGGGGCCAAGACUACUUGAAAAAAAUUGUUACACAGACUUUUAAGAACAUUCCCGGGUUAAGUAAUUCAUUACUCGGAUUCCUACUGGUCGCCCGUGGUGAUGCCGACGUUUUGUACUUUGUUGGGUCUGUGACCGGGCAGUUCUUUGGUCCCCUGGCAGCAGUCAGAUCGCGUGCCUAGUUCCUGUUUCCCUGGACAGAAUGAGAGUCUUAAAGCGCCUGGCCGGGCAGGUAAAGAAGGCAGCGGGCCUGUGUGUCAGCCGCCUGCCACAGAGGAGCCCACGUGACCGAACGUGACCUGAAGCCUUUGAACCUCACGGUGCACAGCCGCCUGCUGUGGAGGGAAUGGCUGUCUUCUGAAAGCUCACGGCACCCCAGAGAAGAACCUUCCGGAAGGCCCCCCGCUGCCCAAGCAGCUAAGGCCUGCGCCGGGCUCGCUUCGUGUCAGACACGGGCCGGCCAGCAGGCGGGCAGGCGGGCAGGCGGGCAGGCGGGCAGGCGGGCAGGCGGCCCCUCUCCACCACCGGCGCCCAGCGGGGGAAACAUCUGUUUCCAUUCACCAAAGACCUACACACCGCGAAGCAGCAGGAAGAGAUGGGUGAGGGCGCCGCCUCCUCUAGAGGCGAGGAAGGACCCUGAGGAGGUGACACUCAGCUAAGACCAGAGGACACUGAGUCAGACCUGCCAGGGUGGAGGCACGCGCCCCAGGCAGAGGGGAGACCCUGCCCCGCCCUCCAAGGAGCUGGACGCGUUGCAGGAGCCGGAGGAUGGAUGUGCCUGAGCGCAACGUAGCCAAGACCAUGUGCGGGAUGAGUUUGAAGGGGCGGCCGGAUCAUAAGAACUUGGGAGCGAUGUUGGCAGAGGAGAAACACAGUGACAGAAGAAGGGAGAAGGAGAGAGAGAUAGAAACAUCAGUGAUAAGAGAGAAUCAUGGAUCGGCUGCCUCCUGCACGCCCCACCCUGGGGAUCUAGCUCGAAACCCAGGCUUGUACCCUUGCCUGGAAUUGAACCUGGGACCCUUCAGUCUGCAGGCCAAUGCUCUAUCCACUGAGCAACACCAGCCAGGGCAUCUUGUCCUUUUAAAUAGUUAAUAGCAGCGAGUGAUUUAGUAAAGAACCGACACGGCCCGCCAUCCGUUUGACAGGAGACAAACACUUGAGUCUGUGUGUUCGUCUUCUCUCAAUAGCUCCGUGAAAGGUAGAGGCCGGCACAAGGCAGGACACUGGGUCAAAUCCACUGCAGCAGCUGUAACUCGCAACUGUAACCUUCCUCCUCCGCAAAUGAGUUUAAAAGCAAGUUGUAAAAAUCAUGUUGGAAACUAAUGACCUGAAGAAAAUGCCAGCAUUUCUCCCAGGGAAUGGGUUUGGUCUAAGUACUUCCGCUUCUGAAACUGUAGCUCAGUGGUUGAGCGUGGACCUAGGAACCAGGAGGUCACGGUUCGAUUCCCGGUCAGGACACCGGCCCUGGUUGCGGCUGGAUCCCCAGUGUGGGGCGUGCAGGGGGCAGCCGAUCCAUGAUUCUCUCUCAUCAUGGAUGUUUCUCUGUCUCCCUCUCCCUUCCUCUCUGAAAUCAAUAAAAAUAUAUAUAUUUUAAAAACUGCACAGAAAGGCGGUUUUUGAGGGUCAAAGCUACAAAGGUUCAAGAUCUUAAGAUUGUUGAAAUCUCUACAGAAAACACUGGCCUUGUUUCAGGAACUAAAGGAACAAUAAAACCAGCCCAGAGAGAAGGAUGAGCGCUGGUCGCUAGAGAAGCUGAAAGGCAGCUACAGCUCCUGUGAGACCCGAUAGUUGCGGAGCGCUCGCCGCGCCAGAGAAGGUGGGAGGCCUGAGAGGUGGUAUUUUCCGCGGGCCCCGCCUUGUAGAACCUUGGCCGGUAAUCAAAUACGCUUGGACAAAGCUCCAC